UACGAAGGGGGCUAGCGUUGCUCGGAAUCACUGGGCGUAAAGGGCUCGUAGGCGGCCUGUUAAGUCGAACGUGAAAUCCCCGGGCUCAACCCGGGAACUGCGUCCGAUACUGGCAGGCUUGAAUCCGGGAGAGGGAUGCGGAAUUCCAGGUGUAGCGGUGAAAUGCGUAGAUAUCUGGAGGAACACCGGUGGCGAAGGCGGCAUCCUGGACCGGCAUUGACGCUGAGGCGCGAAAGCCAGGGGAGCAAACGGG
rnacentral:rRNA from 1 species